rnacentral:misc_RNA from 1 species
AAGUCGUAACAAGGUUUCCGUAGGUGAACCUGCGGAAGGAUCAUUACAGAGUAACUGGCGUGGGUAAAACCUGCCAACUCUCCACCCUUUGUUUACAUUACCUUUGUUGCUUUGGCAGGCCCGUCUUAGGACCGCUGGCUUCGGCUGGUCAGUGCUUGCCAGAGGACCUAAAACUCUGAUUAAUUGUAUUGUCUGAGUACUAUAUAAUAGUUAAAACUUUCAACAACGGAUCUCUUGGUUCUG